rnacentral:rRNA from 1 species
AGCCGCGGUAAUACCGGCGGCUCGAGUGGUGGCCGAUAUUAUUGAGUCUAAAGGGUCCGUAGCCGGCUUUGCAAGUCUUUUGGGAAAUCCAGCGGCUUAACCGUUGGGCGGCCAGGAGAUACUACAUUGCUUGGGACUGGGAGAGGUAAGAGGUACUCAGGGGGUAGGAGUGAAAUCCUGUAAUCCUUUGGGGACCACCGGUGGCGAAGGCGUCUUACCAGAACAGGUCCGACGGUGAGGGACGAAAGCUAGGGGCACGAACCGGAUUAGAUACCCGGGUAGUCCUAGCCGUAAACGAUGCUCGCUAGGUGUCACAACAAUCGUGAAUUGUUGUGGUGCCGUAGGGAAGCCGUGAAGCGAGCCACUUGGGAAGUACGACCGCAAGGUUGAAACUUAAAGGAAUUGGCGGGGGAGCACCACAACGGGUGGAGCCUGCGGUUUAAUUGGACUCAACGCCGGACAGCUUACCGGGAUCGACAGUUGUAUGAAGGCCAGGCUGAAGACCUUGCCGGACUAGCUGAGAGGUGGUGCAUGGCC